GACGAACGCUGGCGGCGUGCUUAACACAUGCAAGUCGAACGGAAAGGCCCUGCUUGCAUGGUACUCGAGUGGCGAACGGGUGAGUAACACGUGGGUGAUCUGCCCUGCACUUCGGGAUAAGCUUGGGAAACUGGGUCUAAUACCGGAUAGGAGCCAUCUUUAGUGUGGUGGUUGGAAAGUUUUUUCGGUGUAGGAUGAGCUCGCGGCCUAUCAGCUUGUUGGUGGGGUAAUGGCCUACCAAGGCGGCGACGGGUAGCCGGCCUGAGAGGGUGUACGGCCACAUUGGGACUGAGAUACGGCCCAGACUCCUACGGGAGGCAGCAGUGGGGAAUAUUGCACAAUGGGCGCAAGCCUGAUGCAGCGACGCCGCGUGGGGGAUGAAGGCCUUCGGGUUGUAAACUCCUUUCGCUAGGGACGAAGCUUUGUUGUGACGGUACCUAGAUAAGAAGCACCGGCUAACUACGUG
rnacentral:rRNA from 1 species